rnacentral:rRNA from 1 species
GAUGAACGCUAGCGGCAGGCUUAAUACAUGCAAGUCGAGGGACAGCACAGGUAGCAAUACUGGGUGGUAACCGGCAAACGGGUGCGGAACACGUACACAACCUUCCUUUAAGUGGGGGAUAGCCCAGAGAAAUUUGGAUUAAUACCCCGUAAUAUAGUUGAAUGGCAUCAUUUGAUUAUUAUAGCUACGGCGCUUAAUGAUGGGUGUGCGGCUGAUUAGAUAGUUGGCGGGGUAACGGCCCACCAAUUCUACGAUCAGUAGCUGAUGUGAGGGCAUGAUCAGCCACACGGGCACUGAGGCACGGGCCCGACUCCGACGGGAGGCGGCAGUAAGGAAUAUUGGUCAAUGGACGCAAGUCUGAACCAGCCAUGCCGCGUGAAGGAUUAAGGUCCUCUGGAUUGUAAACUUCUUUUAUUUGGGACGAAAAAGGGCCUUUCUAGGUCAACUGACGGUACCAGAUGAAUAAGCACCGGCUAACUCCGUGCCAGCCGCCGCCGUAAUAC